rnacentral:rRNA from 1 species
AUUGAACGCUGGCGGCAGGCCUAACACAUGCAAGUCGAACGAGUGGCGGACGGGUGAGUAAUGUCUGGGAAACUGCCCGAUGGAGGGGGAUAACUACUGGAAACGGUAGCUAAUACCGCAUACCAUCGGAUGUGCCCAGAUGGGAUUAGCUAGUAGGUGGGGUAACGGCUCACCUAGGCGACGAUCCCUAGCUGGUCUGAGAGGAUGACCACCCACACUGGAACUGAUACACGGGCCAGACUCCUACGGGAGGCAGCAGUGGGGAAGAUUGCACAAUGGGCGCAAGCCGGAUGCAGCCAUGCCGCGUGUAUGAAGAAGGCCUUCUGGUUGUAAAGUACUUUCAGCGAGUAGGCGUUACUCGCAGAAGAAGCACCGGCGAACUCCGUGCCAGCAGCCGCGGUAAUAC